UACAGAGGGUGCAAGCGUUGUUCGGAAUUAUUGGGCGUAAAGGGCGCGUAGGCGGUGCGGUAAGUCUGCGGUGAAAUCUCCCGGCUCAACUGGGAGUCUGCCGUGGAAACUGGCGAGCUGGAGUGUGGCAGAGGGGGGUGGAAUUCCGCGUGUAGCAGUGAAAUGCGUAGAGAUGCGGAGGAACACCGAUGGCGAAGGCAGCCCCCUGGGCUAACACUGACGCUGAGGCACGAAAGCGUGGGGAGCAAACAGG
rnacentral:rRNA from 1 species